AAAGUCCCGGAAUAUCUUAUCUAUAGCAGAAAGUUAAAAAAUUUUUGCGUUUACUUCACACAAGAGCAGCCAUUUUCCCCUGUUGCUGUGGGAACGUUAUGAAGUGAUGCAAUUACAGGAA